CUACGGGCGGCAGCAGUGGGGAAUAUUGCACAAUGGGCGCAAGCCUGAUGCAGCCAUGCCGCGUGUAUGAAGAAGGCCUUCGGGUUGUAAAGUACUUUCAGCGGGGAGGAAGGGAGUAAAGUUAAUACCUUUGCUCAUUGACGUUACCCGCAGAAGAAGCACCGGCUAACUCCGUGCCAGCAGCCGCGGUAAUACGGAGGGUGCAAGCGUUAAUCGUAAUUACUGGGCGUAAAGCGCACGCAGGCGGUUUGUUAAGUCAGAUGUGAAAUCCCCGGGCUCAACCUGGGAACUGCAUCUGAUACUGGCAAGCUUGAGUCUCGUAGAGGGGGGUAGAAUUCCAGGUGUAGCGGUGAAAUGCGUAGAGAUCUGGAGGAAUACCGGUGGCGAAGGCGGCCCCCUGGACGAAGACUGACGCUCAGGUGCGAAAGCGUGGGGAGCAAACAGGAUUAGAUACCCGAGUAGUC
rnacentral:rRNA from 1 species